GGUUAAGUGACUAAGCGUACACGGUGGAUGCCUAGGCAGUCAGAGGCGAUGAAGGGCGUGCUAAUCUGCGAAAAGCGUCGGUAAGGUGAUAUGAACCGUUACAACCGGCGAUACCCGAAUGGGGAAACCCAGUGUGUUUCGACACACUAUCAUGUCAUGAAUACAUAGUGGCAUGAGGCGAACCGGGGGAACUGAAACAUCUAAGUACCCCGAGGAAAAGAAAUCAACCGAGAUUCCCCCAGUAGCGGCGAGCGAACGGGGAGGAGCCCAGAACCUGAAUCGGCUUGUGUGUUAGUGGAAGCGUCUGGAAAGUCGCGCAGUAAAGGGUGAUAGCCCCGUACACUAAAAUGCACAGGUCGUGAGUUCGAUGAGUAGGGCGGGACACGUGACAUCCUGUCUGAAUAUGGGGGGACCAUCCUCCAAGGCUAAAUACUCCUGACUGACCGAUAGUGAACCAGUACCGUGAGGGAAAGGCGAAAAGAACCCCGGCGAGGGGAGUGAAAUAGAACCUGAAACCGUGUACGUACAAGCAGUGGGAGCACCUUCGUGGUGUGACUGCGUACCUUUUGUAUAAUGGGUCAGCGACUUAUAUUUUGUAGCAAGGUUAACCGUAUAGGGGAGCCGUAGGGAAACCGAGUCUUAACUGGGCGAAUAGUUGCAAGGUAUAGACCCGAAACCCGGUGAUCUAGCCAUGGGCAGGUUGAAGGUUGGGUAACACUAACUGGAGGACCGAACCGACUAAUGUUGAAAAAUUAGCGGAUGACUUGUGGCUGGGGGUGAAAGGCCAAUCAAACCGGGAGAUAGCUGGUUCUCCCCGAAAGCUAUUUAGGUAGCGCCUCGUGAACUCAUCUUCGGGGGUAGAGCACUGUUUCGGCUAGGGGGCCAUCCCGGCUUACCAAACCGAUGCAAACUCCGAAUACCGAAGAAUGUUAUCACGGGAGACACACGGCGGGUGCUAACGUCCGUCGUGAAGAGGGAAACAACCCAGACCGCCAGCUAAGGUCCCAAAGUCAUGGUUAAGUGGGAAACGAUGUGGGAAGGCAUAGACAGCCAGGAUGUUGGCUUAGAAGCAGCCAUCAUUUAAAGAAAGCGUAAUAGCUCACUGGUCGAGUCGGCCUGCGCGGAAGAUGUAACGGGGCUAAACCAUGCACCGAAGCUGCGGCAGCGACGCUUAGGCGUUGUUGGGUAGGGGAGCGUUCUGUAAGCCGUUGAAGGUGGCCUGUGAGGGUUGCUGGAGGUAUCAGAAGUGCGAAUGCUGACAUAAGUAACGAUAAAGCGGGUGAAAAGCCCGCUCGCCGGAAGACCAAGGGUUCCUGUCCAACGUUAAUCGGGGCAGGGUGAGUCGACCCUAAGGCGAGGCUGAAAAGCGUAGUCGAUGGGAAACAGGUUAAUAUUCCUGUACUUGGUGUUACUGCGAAGGGGGACGGAGAAGGCUAGGCUAGCCGGGCGACGGUUGUCCCGGUUUAAGCGUGUAGGGGGUGUGACCUGGUAAAUCCGGUUGCAUAUCAACCCUGAGGCGUGAUGACGAUGCACUACGGUGCAGAAGUAGUUGAUGCCCUGCUUCCAGGAAAAGCCUCUAAGCUCCAGGUAACAUUGAAUCGUACCCCAAACCGACACAGGUGGUCAGGUAGAGAAUACCAAGGCGCUUGAGAGAACUCGGGUGAAGGAACUAGGCAAAAUGGUGCCGUAACUUCGGGAGAAGGCACGCUGGCAUGUAGGUGAAGUCCCUUGCGGAUGGAGCUGAAGCCAGUCGAAGAUACCAGCUGGCUGCAACUGUUUAAUAAAAACACAGCACUGUGCAAACACGAAAGUGGACGUAUACGGUGUGACGCCUGCCCGGUGCUGGAAGGUUAAUUGAUGGGGUCAGCCGCAAGGCGAAGCUCUUGAUCGAAGCCCCAGUAAACGGCGGCCGUAACUAUAACGGUCCUAAGGUAGCGAAAUUCCUUGUCGGGUAAGUUCCGACCUGCACGAAUGGCGUAAUGAUGGCCAGGCUGUCUCCACCCGAGACUCAGUGAAAUUGAACUCGCUGUGAAGAUGCAGUGUACCCGCGGCAAGACGGAAAGACCCCGUGAACCUUUACUAUAGCUUGACACUGAACAUUGAGCCUUGAUGUGUAGGAUAGGUGGGAGGCUUUGAAGCGUGGACGCCAGUCUGCGUGGAGCCAUCCUUGAAAUACCACCCUUUAAUGUUUGAUGUUCUAACUCGGCCCCAUAAUCUGGGGUGAGGACAGUGUCUGGUGGGUAGUUUGACUGGGGCGGUCUCCUCCCAAAGAGUAACGGAGGAGCACGAAGGUUAGCUAAUCACGGUCGGACAUCGUGAGGUUAGUGCAAAGGCAUAAGCUAGCUUGACUGCGAGAGUGACGGCUCGAGCAGGUACGAAAGUAGGUCUUAGUGAUCCGGUGGUUCUGAAUGGAAGGGCCAUCGCUCAACGGAUAAAAGGUACUCCGGGGAUAACAGGCUGAUACCGCCCAAGAGUUCAUAUCGACGGCGGUGUUUGGCACCUCGAUGUCGGCUCAUCACAUCCUGGGGCUGAAGUAGGUCCCAAGGGUAUGGCUGUUCGCCAUUUAAAGUGGUACGCGAGCUGGGUUUAGAACGUCGUGAGACAGUUCGGUCCCUAUCUGCCGUGGGCGUUGGAAGAUUGAGAGGGGUUGCUCCUAGUACGAGAGGACCGGAGUGAACGCACCACUGGUGUUCGGGUUGUCAUGCCAAUGGCAUUGCCCGGUAGCUAAGUGCGGAAAAGAUAAGCGCUGAAAGCAUCUAAGCGCGAAACUUGCCUCAAGAUGAGUCUUCCCUGGGCCUUUAAGGCCCCUGAAGGAACGUUUAAGACUAAGACGUUGAUAGGCUGGGUGUGUAAGUGCAGCGAUGCAUUGAGCUAACCAGUACUAAUGAUCCGUGAGGCUUAACCUU
rnacentral:rRNA from 1 species